AAGUCCUCCACUGAGAGGAAGUUGUAGUCCACGCCAGGAACUUCUCCUUCACGUGGGGCGCGGGUAGUACCUGGACAACCAAUCAGAGACAGGUACAUUUGGCAGAUGUGACGACUGCCUGUGUGGCCGGGCAAAACUGUUCCUGCUAUUGGGCUUGACUGGAGGACAACUGUGGUUUUUCUCAAGCCGCCGACCGAGUCUUGCCAAAAGCCCAAAUUCCAUUUUGCCGCUCUGAUGUUGAUGAUGUCAUGUAAUCCAAAAGUAUAUCCAAUAAAUACAGCUUCAUUCCUCUUGGCUGCCGCACUCAUUUAAAUGACCAGUCAUACCGAAAUCCUGAUGAGAAGGAUAAUGAAGAUUCUCUAAUAUUUUACAUACAGUAAAACAGGAGUCAAAUGUUUUGUGUGGGGAAAGGGGUGACUAAUAAGAAUAUUACUGAAUAUCUGAAUAUUAAUGAAGAAACAACCACUGAUCACUCGUAUAAAUCCUUAAAUGCCAUAUUGAUCUACAUUUAAAAGAGUACUCCACCGAUCUACCAUUGCUGUCCAAUAACAUUGCUGGACUCAUGAUGGACAGUUUUUUUUUUUUUUUUUUAAAGGAUCAAAAACGAUGCAGCAGAACCAAAGAUAUUGUCUUUUUUAUUCCAAGCAUUCUUCUUCCUUGUCAAAACCUGAAGCCUACAUUACCUACAAUGCAACUCGACCACCAACAGUUUGGACAGAUUCGGAUGUGUUGUGCUAGUAGCGGCUAAUGUAGCCUCCAGCCACUAGCCUAAAGCAGAGAUGAGGAAAAGGCUACAGAGGUUUAGUAACAUCUCUUCUUUCUAACUCCACACCCCCAAUUUUUUUUUCCAUUUUCAAACUUGUAGUCUUCAGCUCCAACUGACACUGACUCAAGUGACAUCAUUUGAGGAAGUUUAUCAGACUUCGUGCAGCUCCCUCUGAAGCCACAAAAUGUUUUAUAGAACUUUUUUCACAUAUGCAGUAGCACUCGCCAAGACCUGUAAACAUACUUUGUUGUGUAAAAUCAGUGGAGUUCCCCUUUAACUAAACAAUCGACCUAAACUUAAAUGUACCACUAUAUUUGAAACAAAUGUGUUUGUCCAGUUAAAGAAAUUAGGAGCAGGUUACAAUGGCUUAUUCUGCUUUAGUAUAACGAUGUGUGAAUCCCUCUUUUCUCUACUGUCCAUAGUCUGUGCAUGUCUCACGAGAGAAAGCGGAGCGAAGGGGUGAAGCAGUGGGCCAAUGUGACAUGCAUGCUAACAGCUAUGGCUCUGUCUCUAAUAAAGAUGGGUGCCUCAACAUAUAGCAAGCAAAUGCUUUUCAUCAGUCUUGCCUGUCUUAAGUGAAAACGAAAUUACCCUGUGCCCUGAAUCAUGCUGCUCUGAAAUGAAAUGUGAUGACUGUGUUACAUUAAAGGCAGGCCUAGUAGUGGAUUGAAUGAGCCCACUGUAUGUCUUUCAAAGCGUCUAGGUAUUUCACUUUCAAGUCAUACUCAUUGCACGUAUGCCAUCUACUAUAUUUCGUACACAGACAGCACACCAUGGAACUGUGCGAAAACAUAAUGUACCAUAUUUUCUCAGUAAAUCACAGCAGGACACUAAUGGAGGUAACACACAAUGAUGUGAGUAAAUACCAUACAAUCAUUUCUAAUUUUUCUAGUGUGAUCUGGCAGACAUGGUUUUUCAAAAUUACCAUAUUCGGCUAGUUAUGUUGGGUUUACUGUAGCAUCUGCCUUGCUGAAAUAAGUGGCCAUAUAAAGAAUAUUGUACGUAGCUGGUGGAUGAUCAGAGAGAAACAACAUGGAUAAUGGCCCUGCCUUGAAAGUCUGGCAACAUUCAUAGACCCAACUGUUGUGCAGAAGCUAUUACAGAAGCAUUUCUCUAAAUCUCCACAAUAAACAUGCUCGGAUGUCAAGCUAGCUAGCCAGCUAGUCCACGUUUUCCAAGAAGAUACUGAGGCAUGUCUUCAUGGAUAAUUUUCAAGAAACAGACGACUGUAUGCACGUGCACACACACAAACACAAGGGGAGGGCUGGCAGACUCCCGUCAUAUUCCAAAACCAAAACAGAUCCAUCCACCAUCUUCGCCAUAGCUUGCCUGCCAGUGCUUUUUUUUUUUUUUUUUUUUUUUUUUUUUUGGGUGAAACACAUGCACACACACAAAAAUGCAGGAGGGGUGACAAGCUGACUGGGGUUUGUCAGCACAGCAGGGGGAUGGAGCCUCAGCCAUCUGUCCCAGUAAAGGGUUAAUCCAACCAAAAGCGCAGGCCGCAGAUUCCAGCAUUUUCCUGUCCUCAAAUUUCUAGCUACAUUCUGGCUACGUUUUUUUUUUUUUUUUUUUUUUUGGGUUUGCAUUCUGUUUUUGCAAGGAGGAGGAGGGGUUACAGUCAAUCAUCCAGCCUUACGGACACACCAACUACCCCACCUGAUUCUACACCCCCCCCCCCC